AUGCAAUUAAUGAGGUCAUCUUUUCUAUCAAAAAGUUUUGACAUGAAAGAUCUGGGAGAAGCCGAUGUAAUUCUAAACAUCAAACUUAUUAAGGAUGAGAGUGGGAUUACAUUAACGCAAUCUCACUAUGUUGAGAAGGUCUUGAACCGAUUCGGUUUUAUGGAUAGCAAGCCUUCUCCAACACCUUAUGAUCCCAGCGUGACACUCAGAAAGAACAAGAAAGAAACGAGAGAUCAAUUAAGAUACUCUCAAAUUGUCGGUUCACUCAUGUACUUAGCUAGCGCUACAAGAUCAGAUAUCUCUUUUGCUGUGAGCAAACUGAGUAGGUUCAUGUCCAACCCGGGUGAUGAUCAUUGGCAUGCACUAGAAAGGUUCUUGCGCUAUCUAAGAGGUACUAUGAGUUACGGAAUUACUUAUUCAGGGCAUCCUGCUGUGCUAGAAGGAUAUAGUGAUUCAAAUUGGAUUUCCGAUGUUGAUGUAUUUUACGCAACAAGUGGGUAUGUAUUUACUCAUGGUGGUGGCGUAGUGUCAUGGAGGUCUUGUAAGCAAACCAUAUUGACGAGGUCAACUAUGGAAGCAGAAUUAACUGCUUUGGACACAACUACUGUUGAGGCAGAAUGGCUGCGUGAGCUCUUGAUGGACUUGCCGGUUGUUGAAAAACCUGUACCGGCUAUUCUUAUGAAUUUUGAUAACCAAACGGUUAUCGCUAAAGUGAACAAUUCUAAAGAUAAUGCAAAGUCAUCAAGACACGUGAAAAGACGUUUGAAGUCUGUCAGGAAGUUGAGAAACUCUGGAGUAAUAACUGUUACGUAUAUACAAACAGACAAAAACCUGGCAGAUCCCUUUACAAAGGGACUAUCACGAAAUGUGAUAGAUAUUGCAUCGAGGGAGAUGGGUAUGAGACCCAUA
rnacentral:rRNA from 1 species